rnacentral:rRNA from 1 species
AGCGAACGCUGGCGGCAGGCUUAACACAUGCAAGUCGAGCGCCCCGCAAGGGGAGCGGCAGACGGGUGAGUAACACGUGGGAAUCUACCCAUCCCUACGGAACAACUCCGGGAAACUGGAGCUAAUACCGUAUACGCCCUUUGGGGGAAAGAUUUAUCGGGGAUGGAUGAGCCCGCGUCGGAUUAGCUAGUUGGUGGGGUAAAGGCCUACCAAGGCGACGAUCCGUAGCUGGUCUGAGAGGAUGAUCAGCCACACUGGGACCGAGACACGGCCCAGACUCCUACGGGAGGCAGCAGUGGGGAAUAUUGGACGAUGGGCGCAAGCCUGAUCCAGCCAUGCCGCGUGAGUGAUGAAGGCCUUAGGGUUGUAAAGCUCUUUCGCCGGGGACGAUAAUGACGGUACCUGGAUAAGAAGCCCCGGCUAACUUCGUGCCAGCCGCCGCAGUAAUAC